rnacentral:rRNA from 1 species
AACAUUCUGGAAAGUAUAGCCAUAGAGGGUGAUAGUCCCGUAUGCGAAAAACAAAGCUUAGCUAGCAGUAUCCUGAGUAGGGCGGGACACGAGGAAUCCUGUCUGAAUCCGGGUCGACCACGAUCCAACCCUAAAUACUAAUACCAGAUCGAUAGUGCACAAGUACCGUGAGGGAAAGGUGAAAAGAACUGAGGUGAUCAGAGUGAAAUAGAACCUGAAACCAUUUGCUUACAAUCAUUCAGAGCACUAUGUAGCAAUACAGUGUGAUGGACUGCCUUUUGCAUAAUGAGCCUGCGAGUUGUGGUGUCUGGCAAGGUUAAGCAAACGCGAAGCCGUAGCGAAAGCGAGUCUGAAUAGGGCGCUUAGUCAGAUGCUGCAGACCCGAAACGAAGUGAUCUAUCCAUGAGCAAGUUGAAGCUAGUGUAAGAACUAGUGGAGGACUGAACCCAUAGGCGUUGAAAAGCCCCGGGAUGACUUGUGGAUAGGGGUGAAAGGCCAAUCAAACUUCGUGAUAGCUGGUUCUCUCCGAAAUAUAUUUAGGUAUAGCGUUGUGUCGUAAUAUAAGGGGGUAGAGCACUGAAUGGGCUAGGGCAUACACCAAUGUACCAAACCCUAUCAAACUCCGAAUACCUUAUAUGUAAUCACAGCAGUCAGGCGGCGAGUGAUAAAAUCCGUCGUCGAGAGGGAAACAACCCAGACUACCAGCUAAGGUCCCUAAAUCUUACUUAAGUGGAAAACGAUGUGAAGUUACUUAAACAACCAGGAGGUUGGCUUAGAAGCAGCCAUCCUUUAAAGAAAGCGUAAUAGCUCACUGGUCUAGUGAUUUUGCGCGGAAAAUAUAACGGGGCUAAAGUAAGUACCGAAGCUGUAGACUUGCACACAACUUAGAUUAUUUAAGUUUAGAAUAUGAGAAACUAAGUUAUGUUUAGUUAUAUUUUUACUGAUUUUUAUAGAGUAAAGAUAGAAAUAAAACUUAGUAAAAUCAGUAAAAAUAUUCUUAGGCUAAAGUUAAGUAGUUUAAGUUGUGUGCAAGUGGUAGGAGAGCGUUCUAUUUGCGUCGAAGGUAUACCGGUAAGGAGUGCUGGAGCGAAUAGAAGUGAGCAUGCAGGCAUGAGUAGCGAUAAUUAAUGUGAGAAUCAUUAACGCCGUAAACCCAAGGUUUCCUACGCGAUGCUCGUCAUCGUAGGGUUAGUCGGGUCCUAAGUCGAGUCCGAAAGGGGUAGACGAUGGCAAAUUGGUUAAUAUUCCAAUACCAACAUUAGUGUGCGAUGGAAGGACGCUUAGGGCUAAGGGGGCUAGCGGAUGGAAGUGCUAGUCUAAGGUCGUAGGAGGUUAUACAGGCAAAUCCGUAUAACAAUACUCCGAGAACUGAAAGGCUUUUUGAAGUCUUCGGAUGGAUAGAAGAACCCCUGAUGCCGUCGAGCCAAGAAAAGUUUCUAAGUUUAGCUAAUGUUGCCCGUACCGUAAACCGACACAGGUGGGUGGGAUGAGUAUUCUAAGGCGCGUGGAAGAACUCUCUUUAAGGAACUCUGCAAAAUAGCACCGUAUCUUCGGUAUAAGGUGUGGUUAGCUUCGUACUAGGAUUUACUCCGAAAGCGAAGAAACUUACAACAAAGAGUCCCUCCCGACUGUUUACCAAAAACACAGCACUCUGCUAACUCGUAAGAGGAUGUAUAGGGUGUGACGCCUGCCCGGUGCUCGAAGGUUAAUUGAUGGGGUUAGCAUUAGCGAAGCUCUUGAUCGAAGCCCGAGUAAACGGCGGCCGUAACUAUAACGGUCCUAAGGUAGCGAAAUUCCUUGUCGGUUAAAUACCGACCUGCAUGAAUGGCGUAACGAGAUGGGAGCUGUCUCAAAGAGGGAUCCAGUGAAAUUGUAGUGGAGGUGAAAAUUCCUCCUACCCGCGGCAAGACGGAAAGACCCCGUGGACCUUUACUACAGCUUGACACUGCUACUUGGAUAAGAAUGUGCAGGAUAGGUGGGAGGCUUUGAGUAUAUGACGCCAGUUGUAUAUGAGCCAUUGUUGAGAUACCACUCUUUCUUAUUUGGGUAGCUAACCAGCUUGAGUUAUCCUCAAGUGGGACAAUGUCUGGUGGGUAGUUUGACUGGGGCGGUCGCCUCCCAAAUAAUAACGGAGGCUUACAAAGGUUGGCUCAGAACGGUUGGAAAUCGUUCGUAGAGUAUAAAGGUAUAAGCCAGCUUAACUGCAAGACAUACAAGUCAAGCAGAGACGAAAGUCGGUCUUAGUGAUCCGGUGGUUCUGUGUGGAAGGGCCAUCGCUCAAAGGAUAAAAGGUACCCCGGGGAUAACAGGCUGAUCUCCCCCAAGAGCUCACAUCGACGGGGAGGUUUGGCACCUCGAUGUCGGCUCAUCGCAUCCUGGGGCUGGAGCAGGUCCCAAGGGUAUGGCUGUUCGCCAUUUAAAGCGGUACGCGAGCUGGGUUCAGAACGUCGUGAGACAGUUCGGUCCCUAUCUGCCGUGGGCGUAAGAAGAUUGAAGAGAUUUGACCCUAGUACGAGAGGACCGGGUUGAACAAACCACUGGUGUAGCUGUUGUUCUGCCAAGAGCAUCGCAGCGUAGCUAAGUUUGGAAAGGAUAAACGCUGAAAGCAUCUAAGCGUGAAGCCAACUCUAAGAUGAAUCUUCUCUAAGCUCUCUAGAAGACUACUAGUUUGAUAGGCUGGGUGUGUAAUGGAUGAAAGUCCUUUAGCUGACCAGUACUAAUAGAGCGUUUGGCUUAUCUUUAAUAAAGCAU